rnacentral:rRNA from 1 species
UACGGAGGGUGCAAGCGUUAUCCGGAUUCACUGGGUUUAAAGGGUGCGUAGGAGGGCAGGUAAGUCAGUGGUGAAAUCUCCGAGCUUAACUUGGAAACUGCCGUUGAUACUAUCUGCCUUGAAUAUUGUGGAGGUGAGCGGAAUAUGUCAUGUAGCGGUGAAAUGCUUAGAUAUGACAUAGAACACCAAUUGCGAAGGCAGCUUACUACACAGUCAUUGACGCUGAGGCACGAAAGCGUGGGGAUCAAACAGG